AGAUUGAACGCUGGCGGCAGGCCUAACACAUGCAAGUCGAGCGGUAGAGAGGUGCUUGCAUCUCUUGAGAGCGGCGGACGGGUGAGUAAUGCCUAGGAAUCUGCCUAGUGGUGGGGGAUAACGUUCGGAAACGGACGCUAAUACCGCAUACGUCCUACGGGAGAAAGCGGGGGACCUUCGGGCCUCGCGCCAUUAGAUGAGCCUAGGUCGGAUUAGCUAGUUGGUGAGGUAAUGGCUCACCGAAGGCGACGAUCCGUAACUGGUCUGAGAGGAUGAUCAGUCACACUGGAACUGAGACACGGUCCAGACUCCGUACGGGAGGCAGCAGGUGGGAAUAGUUGGAACAAGUGGGACGAAAGCCCUGACUCCGAGACCAUCGGCCGCGUGUGUAGGAAGAAGGUCUUACGGAUUAGUAAAGCUAACGUUUUAAGGUGGGAAGGUUAAGGUU
rnacentral:rRNA from 1 species